GCCACGUGGUUCAGUGGUUAACACACUUGCAUUCGGCCGAAGCGGCCGGUGUUCGACUCCCUGCUGGUG
rnacentral:tRNA from 1 species